rnacentral:rRNA from 1 species
UACGUAGGGUGCGAGCGUUGUCCGGAAUUAUUGGGCGUAAAGAGCUCGUAGGCGGUCUGUCGCGUCGGUCGUGAAAACUUGGGGCUUAACCCUGAGCUUGCGGUCGAUACGGGCAUGACUGGAGUUCGGCAGGGGAGACUGGAAUUCCUGGUGUAGCGGUGAAAUGCGCAGAUAUCAGGAGGAACACCGGUGGCGAAGGCGGGUCUCUGGGCCGUAACUGACGCUGAGGAGCGAAAGCGUGGGUAGCGAACAGG